rnacentral:antisense_RNA from 1 species
GCCACAAGAGGUCUGCAGUGAAGGUCCCAAAGUCCCAGACAAGUCCCCUCUUGUUGCCCAGGCUGGAGUGCAGCAGCAUGAUUACAGCUCACAUCAGCCUCGACCUCCCGGGCUCAAGCUAUCCUCCUACCUCAGCCUCCCAAGUAGCUGGGACUAUAGGUUCAAGUGAUUCUCCUGCCUCAGCUUCCCGAGUAGCUGGGACUACAGGCGUGUGCCACCACGCCCAGGAUCUUUCUGCUGAUGCAGCUGUUAAGAGUGUUUCAUAAACUGUGACAACACUGAGCAAAAUCAUAGAAGGAAACUCUAUGGACAAUUUCAGAUGGAGAAGAAGAAAGGACUGGAAGUUCAAUUUGGCCAUGACAAUUAGACUUGAAGAAGCUGAGUGAGAAGGCCAUGCAGAUAUCUUGGAGAAGUGCAUUCCAGGCAGAGGAAAAGCCAGUGCAGAGACACUGAAGCAGGGCAUGACUGAUGUGUAUAAGGAGCAUCAUAUACAUGAUCAUCUACAGUCCACUGAGAAUAGCAGACGAAAGGCCAGGUGCAGUGCAUGUAAUCCCAGCACUUUGGGAGACUGAGAUGGGAAGAUCGCUUGAGGCCAGGAGUGCAAGACCAGCCUGGGCAACACAGCAAGACCUUGACUCUACUAAAAAAAAAAAAGGAUCCUUCAACUUCAACAAUAAUAACACGAGGGAAGUGAAGAAAAACACUUUCUAAGGAAAUCUCUCUCUGAGCUACCAUCCUGCUAGGGAGAGCCUGAAAGCAGAAUGCUGACUUGACUAGCUCUGGUCAAUGAAAGAAAUCACUAGUGGAAAGGCUACCAGGGGGCUUUCUCAAAAGAGAG